UGGGGAAUAUUGCACAAUGGGCGCAAGCCUGAUGCAGCCAUGCCGCGUGUAUGAAGAAGGCCUUCGGGUUGUAAAGUACUUUCAGCGGGGAGGAAGGGAGUAAAGUUAAUACCUUUGCUCAUUGACGUUAUCCGCAGAAGAAGCACCGGCUAACUCCGUGCCAGCAGCCGCGGUAAUACGGAGGGUGCAAGCGUUAAUCGGAAUUACUGGGCGUAAAGCGCACGCAGGCGGUUUGUUAAGUCAGAUGUGAAAUCCCCGGGCUCAACCUGGGAACUGCAUCUGAUACUGGCAAGCUUGAGUCUCGUAGAGGGGGGUAGAAUUCCAGGUGUAGCGGUGAAAUGCGUAGAGAUCUGGAGGAAUACCGGUGGCGAAGGCGGCCCCCUGGACGAAGACUGACGCUCAGGUGCGAAAGCGUGGGGAGCAAACAGG
rnacentral:rRNA from 2 species